UAGAUACGUCCAUUUCUGCGACGAGUAAUUUCGAACAGAGGGAGUAUAUUGGAGCUCGCCGGAGUCGGGCGACGGCAGACGGACGCUGGAGACGCAGGGGGCCGGAGCCGGGCGACACCAACCAGGCCACGGGUGGCGUACGAACGAGGGCUUCACCACUAGCCUGGAGAAUGGGGAGAAAGAGGAGGAGAUGCGAUCGUCGGCACGGUGCUGAACCAUCGACCCAACAGUAAGAUGAGUAUGUAUCGUGCAAGAGGAGAUCCUCAUCUACAGCCCACGUCUUGCCAGCCAAUGCGACACAUCUGGUGUACCCAAGGCCGUCCACAUGCGUAAUCAUUUUCAUGUGGGGAUUAAAGUGAUAUGGAAGUUCCAGGCUAAUAGGCUGCCAUCUGCCUCAACAGCUAACAACGCCUCCAUUCCAGACCUUCAAAACCUCGAGCAUCCCCCGUCCAAGGCGUCCCCAACCGGCAGUAAGCAAUCACUUGUUUUCUACCCCAAUAUUGUGUUUGUCUGUCUAAAUGAUUGGCUCUAUGAGAAGUUGCAUUGGAUGAAUUCGUGCUCCAUGAUUAUGGUGGCGAUUUCUGUAUGCAAUUUCUCUGAUUCAUGCUCGAGUGUUGUGGGCCUAUGAACUGGGGGUUCGGGUCAAUUUACAUGGCCUACCCAUUUCUUCAAAACUUUUCACUGCUCGAACUGUAUAGAGUGAAUUGUAGCACAUAUGUGAGCAAAAUCAUGAGGCCAUGAUGGUACAUAUUUGAUACAAUACGUAUGUUUUGCCUUCGUCAAAGUUCUCGGACACAAAAAGCUGGUUUCUUAGUUGCCUGUUUGUAUCUCAAAUGAUUUUUGAGUUUUAUGUUCUGAUAAAAAUGCAUUGCUGUCGGUAAUUAUUCCUUCUAAGUAACCUCCUUCAUCUUCAAGCUAACAAAGGAGAAAAUGUCUCACUAUAAUGAGAAAUUGCGACAAGAGCUGGUAAGUGCUUUCACAACUGCGGCAGUUUUGAACCAAAGUUGUAUUCUAGGGUAUUAUUCUUAAAACAAAUUCCAUCAUUUCUUUAUUUCUUAACCAUUAAUCUCAAUGAGUUGUUUAUAGCUGUCACUGAUGUAAUGUUAAACCGAUUAUAAAAAUGGCCUUUUCUUUUACUUUCUGAUAAUGACAUGCUAAUUCAUCUUAUAUUUCUGUUUUAAGUAACUAUCUCUACAGACUAGCGUACAUUUUAUUUUAAAAACAAGGGGUCUGCCAUGAUACAACAGGUUUCUGGGUAAUUUUAUCUAUUCUACUUUUUCGAUUGAAACAUGAAUAUUUUCUUCGAACAUAUUUUUUUAUAGUCACUGGGCAUGAUAACGAAACUUCAACUCAAUGAAAAAUGCAAGUGAGAGCACGAGGAAUAGGAAUUCAUCUGUGUAACAUAUGGUCACAUUCAUCAUGUUGAUAAGCCAGUUGAAGCGGCACCUCAUGUUCUUACUUUUCUCUAUAGCAGUAAAGCAGAUAAAGUUGGGCUUCUUCUGUGUUGUGAAGACCCAGGUUGUCACUAGGGUGUAAAAAUGCAGACUUUCUUUUAUUGGUUUAUUGAAAGCCUCGCGAUGCUUUGCUUCAGUAUACUUGCAAAUUGAAUUGUUAUAUUGCACUAUUUGGCCAAUGUGCUAAAAGAUCUGGUGAAUAUAAUUGGACCAUGGCCAGUAUGAACAUGGUAACAUGUGCCCUGCCAUACACCUAUCUGUGCAUGAUUUCUAUGUAUAUGCAUCUACAUUUCAGAUCUGGCGGGGGCUGAGAAGCCGCACGACUCACAUAUUCAACUUAAAUGAGGCUUCUUUACAAUACAUGUGGCAUGUAAUUCACAAGAUAUUUUGUGUUCUGUGCCUGCAGAUAGAAUAUGAGGGCAGGGUAAGUUCUGCCUUUUACAAUCUGCGGUUAUUUGUUCUAGGUUAGCAACAGCCUCUUUUUUCCAGGAGAGAACAAGGUAAUAAAUAAGUAGUAAUAUUAGUUAUGCUUAGAUAAGUAACUAAAAAUUAUGAUGGGAUUUAGAAUUGAGUUAUAGGAGAUUUUCAAUUUUACCCUCUUCGGUUCAGAUAAUAGCUUGUCUGUCAUAUACUCCUUUAGCAAAACACCAUCAUAUAUUUUUUCGUUGAAACAAAGCAGCUAACUCGCUUCAGUCAUAGUUCAUCAAGAAUCCUAAUUUGGUAAUGGUAGAUUGUAGCUUAAUUAAGAAGAUUUCCUAGAAGUCAUGUUAGGUUCUUUAGAAAAAUUAAAGUUUCCAACCCAAUUCAGUGAUUUGUGCAUGCUAACAGGGAUUCAUGCAAGCAUGCUAACAGAGAUUCAUGUCGGCAUGCUAACAGAGGAACAUGUUUUAUGAUGAGAACCAAUCAAGUUAUAGGUGCAUAUUAUCAGUGGAAAAAAUUCCUUUAUUGAAACACUAUGAAUUAUUUUUUGAUACAAUGCUCAAGGUUGGGUGUAUAUUUGUAAAAUUGAUGGUUAUUCAUUCAGCUUAGACAACAGUAUAUUGUCAUAUUUUUUUAAUCCUUUCGUUGCUAUAUUCUGCCUUACUUCUAAUAAUGUUCAUCUUUUGGUGUUACUCAUAUAUUAGUUGUAUUUAUCAAGCUUUACAAGAUCACUAUCCAGCAGUUCUUUCUACUUUGUGAAGGAUAUUGUAUACGAAAAAGAUAAUUUUGGUUGGCACUGUUUAGAUGAUGCCAUGCCGCAGCAUCAGGUGGUUGUUAUGAUUGAUGGAGGUCAGAGUCAUAGGAGGACACGGUCUCCUCGUCACCGAGUGGCAUCGUUUGGAUGUUGCAUUCCCCUAUGCCGAAUUGUUGGGUAGAGCGGUAGGAGUGAGGGUUCAUGCGCUCAUCGAGGCCGCUGCGCCCUUUGGGGACGUUACAACAGAGAAGAUGAGAAGCCCGUUGCAACGCACGGGCAUAUGUACUAUGAUUUAUAUAUGUAAAGUGCUUAGAAUUUCAUCUAGUUUCAUAUUUUUCCA